CUGAGAGGUUUCGUGGCUCCAUCACUUUCAUGUCUCAUGGCAACACAGAGGCACGUUGAUGUAAAGGUAGAGAAAAGCUGCUCACCUUGGCAUCCAGGAAUCAGAGAAAGAUGAAGAGGGACCUUAAUGUCCUUUAAGAGAAUGCUCAUUUAAUGACUUACGUUGUCCUAUCAGGCUCUAUCUUUUAAGUUCUACCAGCUUCCAAUAGUAGCACUGGAUAAUGAAUAUGUCUAUGGAUGAAUCCAUUGACUAGGCUAGAACAUUCCUUAUACAAUCACUUCCCAAAAGUAUUCAACACAUGAGUUUUGGCGAGACAUUACCAAGGACUACAUUACAGUCCUUUUAACAGCUACUCUGCUUUCUACUCUGAUUUCUAUUUUCUGUGAUAAAACAUUCUGGCCAAAAGGAACUUGGGGAGGAAAGGACUUUUUGGGGGAGAGGACAGGGCAAGAGGCGUAUGUUUCCCAUCUUGGUCCAUCAUUGAAAAAUGUCAGGGCCAAGAGCUCAAGGCAGGAACUUGGAAGCAGGAGCCAGAACAAAACACUGCUUGCUCCCUAUGGCUUGCUCAGCUUGCCUUUUUAAAAGACAACCUAGGACCAUGUGACCCAGGGAUGUCACCAUCUACAAUGUGCUAGACCCUCCCAUUCCAAUCUUUAAUCCAGAAAAAUGAUCCACAGACUUCCUACAGAGCAAUCUGAUGGGGACAUUUUCUCAAUUUAAAUUCCAGCUUCCCAGAGGGCUCAAGCUUGUGUCAAGUUAACAAAAAAAACCUAACCAGGAUAACUGGUCUAUUAAGGACUGGUAACCCAGUCUUGUUGAAUGGAAUGCAAGGCCCGGGGUCUGACUUGAACAAAUCUGGUAAGAGGACUUGGUAGUCACAAGCCUUGGAAAGUAAUAAUCACUUUCCAGAAGGCUCCUCACCAUAUUACUUAAAUACUUAUAUCCAAUUCUCAUCUUGAAAUAGAGCAGACUCCUUGGCCUCUCCUUAGUUCAACCCUGGAACACUCAUCCAGUAAGACUCAAAGGUUUCCCAGACUUUCUGGGUUGGUCUCGGCUGUGGUUAGCAAAAGGCUGUUUUGGAAAUGCCAAGGCCUAUUUCAUUCUGCAUCUGAGGAGAUGCGGGAACCUCUGCCGAACGCAGAGAUGGUGAGGAGGGUCGAUGUGGCUACAGGCUCAUCCUCAUCUCGGAGCUGGAAGCUCCAUGGCCUGGGGUUUGAGGCUUCCAGCCGGCGCCACAAACUUUGGGCCAAUCAGCGCGGCCCGGUGGCCUGGGCUCCCCACCGCUCCGGCCGCGCCUGCCCCGGCCGAGGAGGGGCCUGGCCGCGGGGAGCCGAGGAGGGAGGUGGGGAUUCUGGGAGCCGAGCUCAUUUCCUCCUCCCGGCCGCCCCAGGCCCGCACCCCAUCUCCACGUGCGGCGCCUCCGGAGCGCGGCCGAGCCACGGAGGAUGCUGGGCAUGUACGUACCAGACAGGUUCGCCCUGAAGUCGUCCCGGGUCCAGGACGGGAUGGGGCUCUACACGGCCCGCCGCGUGCGCAAGGGUGAAAAAUUUGGACCCUUCGCUGGGGAGAAGCGAAUGCCUGAAGACUUGGAUGAAAAUAUGGACUACAGACUGAUGUGGGAGGUACGUGGGAGCAAGGGAGAAGUUCUGUAUAUUUUGGAUGCUACCAACCCAAGACACUCCAACUGGCUUCGCUUUGUUCACGAGGCACCAUCUCAGGAGCGGAAGAACCUGGCUGCCAUUCAAGAAGGAGAAAAUAUUUUCUACUUGGCAGUUGAUGAUAUAGAAACAGAUACAGAGCUUUUGAUUGGCUACCUGGACAGUGAUGUGGAGGCAGAGGAGGAGGAGCAACAAGCUCUGACCAUGACCAAAGAAGGCAAAGUUGACCACUCUAAGGGACAGUUGGCAGCUGGAAGUAAAGGUCACCUUGGCUGUGAAGAGGACUUUGCCUGUCCACAGUGUGAAUCGAGCUUUCCCAGUGAGGAAGUCCUUACUGAGCACCUUCAGAGCUUGCACCAGAAGCCCACAGGGGAGAAAGAGUUCAAAUGCGAGAACUGCGGGAAGAAAUUCCCUGUGAGGCAGGCCUUGCAGAGACAUUUUGAGCAGCACCGGAAGGCUUGCCGAGGGGAGGCCAGGUUUGUGUGCAAAGCCGACAGCUGCGGGAAGAGGCUGAAAAGCAAGGAUGCCCUGCGAAGGCACCAGGAAAAUGUCCACACCGGUGAUCCUAAGAGAAAACUCAUAUGCUCGGUGUGCAAUAGAAAAUGUACCUCAGUGUCAAGCCUGCAGGAGCACAGGAAGAUUCAUGAGAUAUUUGAUUGUCAAGAAUGUAUGAAAAAGUUUAUUUCUGCUAAUCAGCUGAAGCGUCACAUGAUUACCCACUCAGAAAAGCGGCCUUAUAACUGUGAGAUCUGUAACAAGUCCUUCAAGAGGCUCGAUCAAGUGGGCGCCCACAAAGUGAUCCACAGUGAGGACAAACCCUACCAGUGCAAGCUCUGUGGCAAGGGCUUUGCUCACAGAAACGUUUACAAGAACCACAAGAAGACCCACUCCGAGGAGAGACCUUUCCAGUGUGAUGCAUGUAAAGCCUUGUUCCGCACGCCCUUUUCUCUGCAGAGACACCUGUUAAUCCACAACAGUGAGAGGACUUUUAAGUGUCACCACUGUGAUGCCACAUUUAAAAGGAAGGAUACAUUAAACGUUCAUGUCCAGGUGGUCCAUGAAAGACACAAGAAGUACCGAUGUGAGCUGUGCAAUAAGGCCUUUGUCACACCUUCAGUGCUUAGGAGUCAUAAGAAGACACACACAGGAGAAAAGGAGAAAGUCUGCCCAUAUUGUGGCCAGAAAUUUGCCAGCAGUGGGACCCUGAGAGUUCACAUCCGGAGCCACACAGGAAGAGUGAACAGCAGAGAAGCACAAACGACUAAUGUUACUCAUUACUUUGAAUGUUUGAGGCAUUUACUCACAGGAGCUCCAACCCGAUGGUGCCCUCUCCGCCCCUCCAUUCCCAAGUCAUCUUCCUUAUUUAGCCAUUCGUGGUCAUUGAAGAUACAGAGAAUGUAUAGGCUACAGACUGGGUUUGCUGUCAAAUGGGUGUUGGCCUGGGAUGAUUGAAAAGCCACACUCACUGUAAGUGAAGGCGAGCCUUUAGCUCUGCAUUUGGUGGGCAGCUCUGUAAUUUAUCAUCCAGUUUCCUAUGAGGGGACCAUAGAGAUGAUACUCUGCAGGUCAGCAGGAAUGGUGGAGCCCUUUCUCCAGUAAGUUUCUUGCUUCUCAGGGUCAGUGAAAGCUGAAGCCCAUUCAGCAAGGGAAUCCACAGACUGACAUAAAUUCCAUUAGUUCAUAAAUUAGAAAAGAGAUUUUAGGAGUUUCUUUUGGUUUUUAAAGCUUUAGGCCAGGAGGUUAAUUAUGUGCCUAGAGUUAACUUUCUGGGUUAAUAGAGAGCGGCUGUGUUGGACAUUCUGGCUCUGGCUGUGUGCACACUGUUAUUUGAGUGUGGUAAUAAAUCACUGUCUUCGGAAGAACUUUUUUUUUUCUUUCAGUAAAUACCUGUGAUCAGCUUAGAAUUAAAGGAUUGUUGUAUUGUUGUUGGAUUAUGCCUGGUAUCCUCACACUGUUUUUCUCUCUUCCUUAAUACCUCUCUAAAGAAAUUAAUUCAUUGUGUUUAAAAUGUUUGCUCAAAUAUUAUAAAACCAGUAGCUAUGUAUAGUUAUAAAUAAUAUAAGGGAAUAAUGAACAAAUGACAAACACAUGAAACUUAGACUUGUCUUUUAUGUCUUUGUAGGUAGUAAAUGACCUUAUCUGCUGAGAAGGCUUUUGUUCAGCUUUGGUUUCCUAAGUGAUUCCUUAUUGACUCGGGCCCAGUCAGAGGUGAGCGCCCCUAUCAAUGCCCGUACUGUGAAAAAGGUUUCAGUAAAAAUGACGGACUGAAGAUGCACAUUCGUACUCACACCAGGGAGAAGCCCUACCAGUGCUCAGAGUGCAGCAAGGCCUUCAGCCAGAAGCGGGGCCUCGAUGAACACAAGAGGACACACACAGGAGAAAAGCCUUUUCAGUGUGACGUAUGUGACUUGGCUUUUAGCCUGAAGAAAAUGCUUAUUCGACACAAGAUGACACACAAUCCUAACCGUCCGAUGGCAGAGUGCCAUUUCUGCCAUAAGAAGUUUACAAGAAAUGACUACCUCAAAGUGCACAUGGACAACAUCCAUGGGGUAGCUGACAGCUAAGAGGAGCGGCAAGGAACCACACCAUGUGAAAGAGCUUCUACUAUGAAUCCCAGAUUCUUCUCACCUGAUCGGCUUAACAGAAAUAGCCACAAAGGAUUCAUUGAUCUGACAGUGUUUAUGUGCCUAUCUUUGUAAUCUAUAGAUGCAAAAAAAAUCCUUUUACCAAAAAUAAAUUCAAAAUAGAAAACAAUAAUACUUUGUAGAUUACAGAGUAUUCUGGCUGAUUAAAAAUUAAAUACAGAGUACGGCUCUUGACUUUCUUUUAUGAAGUUUAUUAAUAUGUACCCAUUAGGCCUUUAUGUUGUUAUUCAUGUGUGUGAAUAUUGCAGCUAGUUCUCACUAAUUCAGGAAGAAAUCAAGACACCUGAGUACUUCUUUACAGAUACUACUAGUAAGACCAUGUGUUUUUAAAGUCUCAAGCAUGAAAAUAUUUGAUAAAUAGACAAGGAUUUCAUCGUAUUUAACAAUUACCUUAAAAUAAAGAGAUAUUUGAGAACUAAAGUUUCUUUUAAAAUAGUGCUCACUUUAUAGAUUUCUGAGAACACACUAUUUUUAUGCAUCGUUCUGAUGCUUGUAUCCAUGUUGUAGAACUGCUUUAUAUAGUAGAAACAAGUAUAACGGCUAUAUUUUAUUUUUAUCAGACUGAUCUUGGUGAGUUUUAAUGUCCAUUCUGAGAAAUUAGCAGUAGUAAACACUCCAAGCUAGAAAUAGAAAGUUAUUUCCCGCCAUCACAUCAGUUACAUGGAGAUGGCCCCGGCAUGCAGGAGUUGUCCAUACAGGUACAACAGUUCUCAGAGCCUUGUCUUACUGAUGUGAUUCUCAUCACACUUUUGAAUUAUCCUCAAUCAUCUCAUGCAGUUAGAAAUCUAGAAUACCAAAAAAAAAAAAAGCCUGCUUAUUGCUAUGCUUUAAAUUUGUUCCAGCAAAAUCUAUAGCCAGAUACAAUGAGCAAGGCAUGAUGAUAUAAUAUAAUAACAGUGUCAAAAUAACUGAGAGUUCCAAAACAGAAAAAUCCGAAGAAGCACAGUUCAUGGACCUGUGUGGUCAGCAUCAAUUUUUGAAGAGAGGGGAGUUAAUGAAAAGAAAGUCAUUUGGUGGUGAGGAGUUAGGGAGAAAAGUUACCCAAGGACUUGGGAAUCUCAGAGUCACAAAACCACAAAGAUUCUCGAUAGACAUUUAAAGCCUUUGAAGAUGCCAUGCUUGAGACUUACCUAAGAUGACUUUUAAAGAGCCAGGCGUUGGGGAGGACUAGACUGAAACAGGGCCUUCUGGACAAGAUGGGACCAUGGCACUCAUGAACUGCCUGCAGCUGUGGUUGUUGCACAGGCUAGAGCUAGGCACAUUCUAGCAUAGAGAUGAAAGAGAUCAUCAGCUUCCACUGAAGAGCUACUGAUAGUUGAUGGCUUCAGAAGGAAGUAUAAUCAGCUUUUUUAAGGGUGAUUCUGGUGGGUCAGUUGCACUCCAGUGCAUGGACCUACACCCAUUAAA